AAUGUGGCGUCCACUCACCCUCUGCGCUUUCACUGGGAGCUGCAAUCCUGAGCUGCUCCUAAUUGGCUGUCUUGGAUCCAUCCCCAUCUUCUAAUAUUUAAAAACUAUUACAUAAUUUAGCAAAGAAGUUGCAGACAUCAUCAAAAGUUCAGUGAAAUCUGACUUAUGUCUUUGUUGUUUCAUUUUAGUCUCACUCUUUAAUGUAAAAGAAAAUAGCAAAAACAUUUAUAUCAGAACUAUACUAAUUUGUCAAUGACCUCAGUGAUAUUUUUUCUAAUCAGAUGUUAAUUAAACAUUUAUACACAGUCUGAUUUGGUGGCACUAUGGUUAAAGAUAGAAUGAAAAAGAAACUGAUAGUGAAAUCCACUAUCACUAUACUGUAGGAAACAGAAAGUCACACUGAAAUUAGUGGUAUGGAAUUUACAGUGAAGAUUAUUGCAUAUUUUAUCAUUAUUUUUCUGAAUUUGUCACUAUAUGCUCUUAAAGCAGUAAUGGUUAUAUGAAACUUUCUUUUUCCCUUUGGAGAGCCAGUUGAGCCACUGGAUAGAGAACAUGCUGUGUUAGAAGAUGAAUGCUCUUGUAGAUGAGAGGAUACCAGAAAAUCCAUGUUUGCUACCACAGCCGCUUAGAAUGAGCACUGCAUUGGCUGGGUGAGGAGGCUGAAUAGCAUCUACAAUAAGGAUCAGCUAGUCUCUAUCAAUAUUAAGAGACUCUUCUGCAGUGGAUGCUCUCUGAGGUGAUAACCCACAUGGUCUACAACAAAGGAUUCCCAGAAUCUUUAAAUUUGGCAGAAUCCCAAAUCUUCAUGGGAGCUGGGCAGAAUUCCAAAGCUGUGGGUUUUAUUUUCUACUCACUAAAGCACAAGUGUUUUACUAAGGCACCUAGGUGUUUGCAACUUCCUGCUUAUCAGGUCCAAUUAAUAUAAUGUCUUCACUGUUAUGGAUCAGAUGUUUUCUGAGAUUUCAAUGUGGUUAGGAUUUCUC